rnacentral:rRNA from 1 species
GUAGGGAAUAUUGCACAAUGGAGGAAACUCUGAUGCAGCGACGCCGCGUGAGUGAUGAAGGCCUUCGGGUCGUAAAGCUCUGUCGCAGGGGAAUAACACAAUGAAGGUACCCUGUAAGAAAGGAUCGGCUAACUUCGUGCCAGCAGCCGCGGUAAGACGAGGGAUCCUAGCGUUGUUCGGAAUCAUUGGGCGUAAAGCGGAUGUAGGUGGCUAUGUAAGUCAGAUGUGAAAGCCUGGGGCUCAACCCCAGAAGUGCAUUUGAUACUGCGUAGCUUGAGUGUCGGAGAGGUUACUAGAAUUGUUGGUGUAGUGGUGAAAUACGUAGAUAUCAACAGGAAUACCGGAGGCGAAGGCGGGUAACUGGCCGAACACUGACACUGAGAUCCGAAAGCGUGGGGAUCAAACAGGAUUAGAAACCCGAGUAGUCC